ACUCCUACGGGAGGCAGCAGUGGGGAAUAUUGCACAAUGGGGGAAACCCUGAUGCAGCCAUGCCGCGUGUGUGAAGAAGGCCUUCGGUUGUAAGCACUUUCAGUAGGGAGGAAGGUAGUGUAGUUAACACCUGCACUAUUUGACGUUACCUACAGAAGAAGCACCGGCUAACUCCGUGCCAGCAGCCGCGGUAAUACGGAGGGUGCGAGCGUUAAUCGGAAUUACUGGGCGUAAAGCGCAUGCAGGCGGCCUGUUAAGUCAGAUGUGAAAGCCCGGGGCUUAACCUCGGAAUUGCAUUUGAAACUGGCAGGCUAGAGUCUUGUAGAGGGGGGUAGAAUUUCAGGUGUAGCGGUGAAAUGCGUAGAGAUCUGAAGGAAUACCAGUGGCGAAGGCGGCCCCCUGGACAAAGACUGACGCUCAGAUGCG
rnacentral:rRNA from 1 species